rnacentral:tRNA from 1 species
GAGCGUAUAGCUCAGUGGUAGAGCAUGUGUUUAGCAUGCAUGAGGUUAUGGGUUCGAUCCCCGAUACUUCUG